GAGCAAGAGGGUCAUAAAAAAAGUCACAGCUUGCCUUGAAGGUUGGCGAAAACAAAACAACGAUGAUUCUCUGUAUAUU